UACGUAGGGGGCGAGCGUUGUCCGGAAUCAUUGGGCGUAAAGAGCUCGUAGGCGGCUCGUCGCGUCGACCGUGAAAACCCGCGGCUUAACUGCGGGCUUGCGGUUGAUACGGGCGGGCUAGAGUUCGGUAGGGGAGACUGGAAUUCCUGGUGUAGCGGUGAAAUGCGCAGAUAUCAGGAGGAACACCAAUGGCGAAGGCAGCUCGCUGGGACGGUACUGACGCUAAGGCGCGAAAGCGUGGGGAGCAAACAGG
rnacentral:rRNA from 1 species